ACCUAUGAACAACAGAUGAUUCAUGUACAGAAAAACUAGACCAUGACAAACAGAAGGAAGAUAGUUUAAAUCUACAAACCAACCACUGUUCGACAUUCAUAGUUAGAAAGAGUGCCCCACAAAGCUGUCCCAAUUUCUCUAGAAACGUGUAAACUUCGCAUUGUCAGAUUACAUGUCAAAAACCUAAAAUGUAAGAUAACAGAAGUAUGAAUGGAUAAGAACACUUAUGGGCUAUGGCCAGACUUUUCACAUAUAAUCACCAAGAAAUCAAGAGAGAAAAAAUAAACCUUGUACACUUAAUAAUACACAAAAUAUGGUUAUAUAUCUGUUGUCAAUAGCGGCCGAACGCGGCGCGAUCGCGGCGCGGAGCGGCUAAAAACAACAAAGCGCGACGCAGCGCUCCAACGCGGAGCAUUUGGAGAAAGCGGAUGAAGCGGGCGCAAUUGCGGGCAAAAGCGGGCGCGAUGCGGGUCAAAGCGGGCGCAUUUGACAACCCUGUGUAAAAUACUAGAUUUCCCUUCAUUUAAAACCGUUUUAAGGGUCAUUUUUGUAAUUUUCAAAACCCUAACUAUUACUCUUCUCCACCAGAACCAAAUACACAGCCACAAACUCAACUUCUUCAUCGUACCAACAAAAAAAAUCCAUCUCCUCUUCUCAUCAUCUCAGAACCCAUCUUUGUUCUCCUCUCUUCAUCUAUUGAUUUCAGAAUUUGUUAAUUUGUCAAUUUGUUAGUUGUUAAUUGUUAAUUUGUUAAUUUGUUAAUUGGGAGGAUGAAUUUGUUAAUUGUUGAUGUUUUGCACUUUUGUUACUUUAAGCUUUAGAGGCGUAAAGUGUCGGUUUCCUUGACUUUUAUUAGUAUUUUUUUGCAAAUAUGUUUUAUGUUUUGCUAGACUUUUGACUUUUAUUUCAAAUUAGGAAUACUUCAUGAUUUUGAGUAUAGUAUUUUAAUAUUAAAUAUAUUAGUGUCCAUGUCACCGAAAUAGCGCCCGCUACGCGCCCGCACCUCGCGCCGCGUCAAUUUUUGGUUCCGCUUUGACAACAGAGGGUUAUUUUAAGAUACAUUACACUGCAGAGAAAAGGUUUUAAUUCACAAUUCCACCAGAGAUGAUUAUCAUGUAUCAAGUUUUGCAAAACAUUACCAUUUUCUGAGACUCAAUUGGAAACAUCCAAAACAGAAAAUUCAUAUCAGAACUCCAGCUAUGUUUCCAAGUUCCACAAAACAUUACUGUUACCUUAAACGCAAAACAACAUCUGUCUAUGAAGAAUAAUAUUUGUUGUAACAUAGGAAUUAGAGAACAAUCAAUUGGAACCCAAACAAUCUGAACAAUCAGAUCAUCAAAAUAAGAACUCCAAACGUCAAGAUACCGAAUAAUCAUAUGAGUAUCAAACAAGAGAAUGAUAGAUAGAACCGUAAGAAAUCAUAUGUACACAGAUUAUUGCUCUUGCAACACCAAAGAAUAACGAAUCAAGAAAUAUUCAUACUUGAGUAGUUAAAGAAAUAUUGAAAGCAAAAAGAAU
rnacentral:lncRNA from 1 species